UACGUAGGGUGCGAGCGUUGUCCGGAAUUACUGGGCGUAAAGAGCUCGUAGGCGGUUUGUCGCGUCGUCCGUGAAACUUGGGCUCAACCCAGCUUGCGGGCGAUACGGGCAGACUUGAGUACUGCAGGGGAGACUGGAAUUCCUGGUGUAGCGGUGAAAUGCGCGAUAUCAGGAGGAACACCGAUGGCGAAGGCAGGUCUCUGGGCCGAUACUGACGCUGAGGAGCGAAAGCGUGGGGAGCGAACAGG
rnacentral:rRNA from 1 species